rnacentral:rRNA from 1 species
GACAGCAGCCGCCGCGGGAAUACGUAGGUGGCGAGCGUUACCCGGAUUUACUGGGCGUAAAGGGCGUGUAGGCGGCCUGGGGCGUCCCAUGUGAAAGGCCACGGCUCAACCGUGGAGGAGCGUGGGAUACGCUCAGGCUAGAGGGUGGGAGAGGGUGGUGGAAUUCCCGGAGUAGCGGUGAAAUGCGCAGAUACCGGGAGGAACGCCGAUGGCGAAGGCAGCCACCUGGUCCACUUCUGACGCUGAGGCGCGAAAGCGUGGGGAGCAAACCGGAUUAGAUACCCCUGUAGUCCCUGUCUCUUAUAC